rnacentral:rRNA from 1 species
UGGGAAAUUUUGGACAAUGGGGGAAACCCUGAUCCAGCCAUCCCGCGUGUGCGAUGAAGGCCUUCGGGUUGUAAAGCACUUUUGGCAGGAAAGAAACGUCGCGGGUUAAUACCCCGCGAAACUGACGGUACCUGCAGAAUAAGCACCGGCUAACUACGUGCCAGCAGCCGCGGUAAUACGUAGGGUGCAAGCGUUAAUCGGAAUUACUGGGCGUAAAGCGUGCGCAGGCGGUUCGGAAAGAAAGAUGUGAAAUCCCAGAGCUUAACUUUGGAACUGCAUUUUUAACUACCGGGCUAGAGUGUGUCAGAGGGAGGUGGAAUUCCGCGUGUAGCAGUGAAAUGCGUAGAUAUGCGGAGGAACACCGAUGGCGAAGGCAGCCUCCUGGGAUAACACUGACGCUCAUGCACGAAAGCGUGGGGAGCAAACAGGAUUAGAUACCCUGGUAGUCCACGCCCUAAACGAUGUCAACUAGCUGUUGGGGCCUUCGGGCCUUGGUAGCGCAGCUAACGCGUGAAGUUGACCGCCUGGGGAGUACGGUC